rnacentral:rRNA from 1 species
UAGAGUUUGAUCCUGGCUCAGAACGAACGCUGGCGGCGUGCCUAACACAUGCAAGUCGAACGUGAAAGUCCUUCGGGAUGAGUAAAGUGGCGCACGGGUGAGUAACACGUGGGUAAUCUUCCUCAAAGACUGGGAUAACCUUUCGAAAGAAGGGCUAAUACCAGAUGAGACCACAGAAAUUGCGAUUUCAGAGGUCAAAGGGUGCUUCGGUAUCGCUUUGAGAUGAGCCUGCGCCGCAUUAGCUAGAUGGUAGGGUAACGGCCUACCAUGGCAACGAUGCGUACCUGGUCUGAGAGGACGACCAGCCACACUGGAACUGAAACACGGUCCAGACUCCUACGGGAGGCAGCAGUGGGGAAUAUUGGACAAUGGGGGAAACCCUGAUCCAGCAACGCCGCGUGGGUGAUGAAGGCCUUCGGGUCGUAAAGCCCUGUUGAGGGGGAAGAAGUCUUGAAGUAACGAUUCAAGAUUGACGUUACCCCUUGAGGAAGCACCGGCUAACUCUGUGCCAGCAGCCCCGGUCAA